ACUUGGAACCGGGAGAGGUAAGAGGUACUACAGGGGUAGGAGUGAAAUCUUGUAAUCCCUGUGGGACCACCUGUGGCGAAGGCGUCUUACCAGAACGGGUUCGACGGUGAGGGACGAAAGCUGGGGGCACGAACCGGAUUAGAUACCCGGGUAGUCCCAGCCGUAAACGAUGCUCGCUAGGUGUCAGGCAUGGCGCGACCGUGUCUGGUGCCGCAGGGAAGCCGUGAAGCGAGCCACCUGGGAAGUACGGCCGCAAGGCUGAAACUUAAAGGAAUUGGCGGGGGAGCACAACAACGGGUGGAGCCCUGCGGUUUAAUUGGACUCAACGCCGGACAACUCACCGGGGGCGACAGCAAUAUGUAGGCCAAGCUGAAGACUUUGCCUGAAUCGCUGAGAGUGGAGGUGCAUGG
rnacentral:rRNA from 1 species